CUUUACGGUUAUGUCACGUUAAAAGCGUUGUUUCUCUUCACUUUCGACCAUCAAAAUUAAGCAACUUUGAGCAUAGUUACUAUUUAGAUGGGCGAUCCCUUGGGAAGUUUAGGCACUGUAAACA
rnacentral:rRNA from 1 species